rnacentral:rRNA from 1 species
UACGAAGGGGGCUAGCGUUGCUCGGAAUUACUGAGCGUAAAGCGCACGUAGGCGGUCUUUUAAGUCGGGGGUGAAAUCCUGGAGCUCAACUCCAGAACUGCCUUCGAUACUGGAAGAUUCGAGUCCGGGAGAGGUGAGUGGAACUGCGAGUGUAGAGGUGAAAUUCGUAGAUAUUCGGAAGAACACCAGUGGCGAAGGCGGCUCACUGGCCCGGUACUGACGCUGAGGAGCGAAAGCGUGGGGAGCGAACAGG